GGGGCCCAGGUUCAAGAACUUCCAGAGGAGAAACAUGAUGGAGCCUCGGGAGCGAGCCAAGUUCAAGCGCAAGUACAAAGUGAAGCUGGUGGAGAAGCGGGCGUUCCGCGAGGUCCGUUGUGGCAAGCGGGGGCCACUCUUCAUCGCGGUGCGCGGG